rnacentral:rRNA from 1 species
GCAUAUCAAUAAGCGGAGGAAAAGAAACCAACAGGGAUUGCCUCAGUAACGGCGAGUGAAGCGGCAAAAGCUCAAAUUUGAAAUCCCCCGGGAAUUGUAAUUUGAAGGUGGCCUCAGUUAGUCCAAACAUUCUUAAGUCCAUUGGAAAAUGGCGCCAUGGAGGGUGAUAGCCCCGUAAAGAUGUCGUUUGUUCUAUUUUCUCUGGCCACCAAAGAGUCGAGUUGUUUGGGAAUGCAGCUCUAAGUGGGUGGUAAAUUCCAUCUAAAGCUAAAUAUUGGCGAGAGACCGAUAGCGAACAAGUACAGUGAUGGAAAGAUGAAAAGCACUUUGAAAAGAGAGUGAAAAAGUACGUGAAAUUGUUGAAAGGGAAGGGCUUGCAAGCAGACACAACCUCGUGUUGGGCCAGCAUCGGGGCGAGAGGAAGUAAAAACGAUUUGGAAAUGUAACUUUCGAGUAUUAUAGACCUUAUCCCUCCCUUCCAUCUCAUCCCGAGGCCUGCGGUUUAUCCUAGGAUGCUGGCGUAAUGGUUGCAAGUCGCCCGUCUUGAAACACGGACC